CUACUGGGGUAUCUAAUCCUGUUCGCUCCCCACGCUUUCGCUCCUCAGCGUCAGUAUCGGCCCAGAGACCCGCCUUCGCCACCGGUGUUCCUCCUGAUAUCUGCGCAUUUCACCGCUACACCAGGAAUUCCAGUCUCCCCUACCGAACUCUAGCCUGCCCGUAUCGACUGCAGGCCCGCAGUUGAGCCGCGGGUUUUCACAGUCGACGCGACAAGCCGCCUACGAGCUCUUUACGCCCAAUAAAUCCGGACAACGCUCGCGCCCUACGUCUUACCGCGGCUGCUGGCAC
rnacentral:rRNA from 1 species